UGAGUAACGCGUGGAUAACCUACCUCAAGGUCUGGGAUAACAGCUCGAAAGGGCUGCUAAUACCGGAUGUGGUGCAUAUGCUGCAUGGUAGAUGCACUAAAGGGGAAACCCGCCAUGAGAUGGGUCCGCGUCCCAUCAGCUAGUUGGUGGGGUAAAGGCCUACCAAGGCGACGACGGGUAGCCGGCCUGAGAGGGUGACCGGCCACACUGGGACUGAGACACGGCCCAGACUCCUACGGGGGGCAGCAGUGGGGAAUAUUGCACAAUGGGCGAAAGCCUGAUGCAGCGACGCCGCGUGGGCGAAGAAGGCCUUCGGGUUGUAAAGCCCUGUCUGGGGGGACGAAGUAAUGACGGUACCUCCGGAGGAAGCCACGGCUAACUACGUGCCAGCAGCCGCGGUAAUACGUAGGUGGCGAGCGUUGUCCGGAAUUACUGGGCGUAAAGGGCGUGCAGGCGGCCACUUAAGUCGGGCGUGAA
rnacentral:rRNA from 1 species